rnacentral:rRNA from 1 species
AUUGAACGCUGGCGGCAUGCCUUACACAUGCAAGUCGAACGGUAACAGGUUAAGCUGACGAGUGGCGAACGGGUGAGUAAUGUAUCGGAACGUGCCCAGUUGUGGGGGAUAACUGCUCGAAAGAGCAGCUAAUACCGCAUACGACCUGAGGGUGAAAGCGGGGGAUCGCAAGACCUCGCGCAAUUGGAGCGGCCGAUAUCAGAUUAGGUAGUUGGUGGGGUAAAGGCUCACCAAGCCGACGAUCUGUAGCUGGUCUGAGAGGACGACCAGCCGCACUGGGACUGAGACACGGCCCAGACUCCUACGGGAGGCAGCAGUGGGGAAUUUUGGACAAUGGGCGCAAGCCUGAUCCAGCCAUGCCGCGUGCGGGAAGAAGGCCUUCGGGUUGUAAACCGCUUUUGUCAGGGAAGAAACGCUCUGGGUUAAUACCCUGGGGUAAUGACGGUACCUGAAGAAUAAGCACCGGCUAACUACGUGCCAGCAGCCGCCGUAACAC